rnacentral:rRNA from 1 species
GGGGGGGGGGCCUAAUAAUGCAGUCGUGCGGACCUUUUAAAGCUUGCUUUUAAAAGGUUAGCGGCGGACGGGUGAGUAACACGUGGGCAACCUGCCUGUAAGACUGGGAUAACGCCGGGAAACCGGGGCUAAUACCAGAUAGUUUUUUCCUCCGCAUGGAGGAAAAAGGAAAGGCGGCUUCGGCUGCCACUUACAGAUGGGCCCGCGGCGCAUUAGCUAGUUGGCGGGGUAACGGCCCACCAAGGCAACGAUGCGUAGCCGACCUGAGAGGGUGAUCGGCCACAUUGGGACUGAGACACGGCCCAAACUCCUACGGGAGGCAGCAGUAGGGAAUCUUCCGCAAUGGACGAAAGUCUGACGGAGCAACGCCCCGUGAGUGAAAAAGGCCUUCGGGUCGUAAAACUCUGUUGCCGGGGAAAAACAAGUGCCGUUCGAACAGGGCGGCGCCUUGACGGUACCCGGCCAGAAAGCCACGGCUAACUACGUGCCACCAGCCGCGGUAAUACGUAGGUGGCAAGCGUUGUCCGGAAUUAUUGGGCGUAAAGCGCGCGCAGGCGGCUUCUUAAGUCUGAUGUGAAAUCUUGCGGCUCAACCGCAAGCGGUCAUUGGAAACUGGGAGGCUUGAGUGCAGAAAAGGAGAGUGGAAUUCCACGUGUAGCGGUGAAAUGCGUAGAGAUGUGGAGGAACACCAGUGGCGAAGGCGGCUCUCUGGUCUGUAACUGACGCUGAGGCGCGAAAGCGUGGGGAGCAAACAGGAUUAGAUACCCUGGUAGUCCACGCCGUAAACGAUGAGUGCUAAGUGUUAGAGGGUUUCCGCCCUUUAGUGCUGCAGCUAACGCAUUAAGCACUCCGCCUGGGGGAGUACGGCCGCAAGGCUGAAACUCAAAGGAAUUGACGGGGGCCCGCACAACGGUGGAGCAUGUGGUUUAUUUCUAAGCAACGCGAAGAACCUUACCACGUCUUGACAUCCUCUGACCUCCCUGGAGACAGGGCCUUCCCCCCUUCUGGGGACAAAUGACAACGUGUU